rnacentral:rRNA from 1 species
GUGAGUCAUCGAGUCUUUGAACGCACCUUGCACCCUCUGGUAUUCUGGAGGGUAUGCCUGUUUGAGUGUCAUGAAAUCAUCAACCUUGGCUUUGAGUCUUCUCUCAAGGCCUGGGCUUGGACUUGGGCGCUUUGCUGAUGAACAAUCGGCUCGCCUUAAAUCUGUUAGCUGAAUCCGUCAGAAACUCGGUUCCACUCGGUGUGAUAAGCAUCUUCACUGAGGACGUUCCCCUAGGGAACGGCCGAGCUUCCAACCUCGAUUUGCUCUCGAACCACAAAAAUUCUUGACAACCUGGCCUCAAAUCAGGUAGGACUACCCGCUGAACUUAAGCAUAUCAAUAAGCGGAGG